ensembl:lncRNA
GAGGAGUUGUCAUGGAGGAGUUGUCAUGAAGAGUUGCAUGGGAGAGUUGUAAUAGAGGAGUUGACAUGGAGGAGUUGUCAUGAAGACUUGUCAUGAAGAGUUGUCAUGGAGGAGUUGUUAUGAAGGAGUUGUCAUGAAGGAGUUGUCAUGGGGGAGUUUUCAUGGGGAGUUGUCAUGGAUGAGUUGUCAUGGAGGAGUUGUCAUGGGAGAUUGCAUGGGAGAGUUGUAAUAGAGGAGUUCUCAUGAAGACUUGUCAUGAAGACUUGUCAUGGAGGAGUUGUCAUGGGAGAGUUGUCAUGAAGACUUGUUAUGGAGGAGUUGUUAUGAAGGAGUUGUCAUGGUGGAGUUGUCAUGAAGAGUUGUCAUGGAGGAGUUGUUAUGAAGGAGUUGUCAUGGUGGAGUUGUCAUGAAGACUUGUCAUGAAGAGUUUUCAUGGAGGAGUUGUUAUGAAGGAGUUGUCAUGAAGGAGUUGUCAUGGGAGAGUUGUCAUGAAGGAGUUGUCAUGGAAAGUUGUCAUGGUGGAGUUGUCAUGGGGAGUUGUCAUGAAGGAGUUGUCAUGGUGGAGUUGUCAUGAAGACUUGUCAUGAAGAGUUGUCAUGGAGGAGUUGUCAUGAAGGAGUUGUCAUGGUGGAGUUGUCAUGAAGGAGUUGUCAUGGGGAGUUGUCAUGGAAG